rnacentral:rRNA from 1 species
GAUGAACGCUGACAGAAUGCUUAACACAUGCAAGUCAACUUGAACUUCGGUUUGGGUGGCGGACGGGUGAGUAACGCGUAAAGAACUUGCCUCACAGAUAGGGACAACAUUUGGAAACGAAUGCUAAUACCUGAUAUUAUGAUUAUAUGGCAUCGUAUAAUUAUGAAAGCUAUAUGCGCUGUGAGAGAGCUUUGCGUCCCAUUAGCUAGUUGGAGAGGUAACGGCUCACCAAGGCGAUGAUGGGUAGCCGGCCUGAGAGGGUGAUCGGCCACAAGGGGACUGAGACACGGCCCUUACUCCUACGGGAGGCAGCAGUGGGGAAUAUUGGACAAUGGACCAAGAGUCUGAUCCAGCAAUUCUGUGUGCACGAUGAAGUUUUUCGGAAGGUAAAGUGCUUUCAGUUGGGAAGAAAAAAUGACGGUACCAACAGAAGAAGUGACGGCUAAAUACGUG